rnacentral:rRNA from 1 species
CUCAAUCAGUAGAUACGCUGAAGUUAA